ACGCACAAGUGUUCAUGCACACAUCCUGAUAUCAAAGAAGGGGAAACCCAGGCAGCAAAACCUGGCCCGGAGGAGAAGGGAGAAGAUUUUUCCUCAGUGACUCCUAAACUCCUUGUAGCUGUGUGGGGUGUCUUUGGAGACUGGCUACAGCCUCCCACUUCGGGUCUGAGGAUGUAAGACAGAAAUACCUCCAGUCGACUGAAAGCAUUUGAGCUGGAGCCAAAAGAAUACAUCACAACAGCUUGCAGCCGAGG
rnacentral:lncRNA from 1 species